CAGCCGCCGCGGGAAUACAGAGGGUGCAAGCGUUAAUCGGAUUUACUGGGCGUAAGGGGCGCGUAGGUGGUUAUGUAAGUGAGAUGUGAAAUCCCACCGCUCAACGGUGGAACUGCAAUCGAUACUGCUUGGCUAGAGGAUCGGAGGGGGAAGCGGAAUUCUUGGUGUAGCGGUGAAAUGCGUAGAUAUCAAGAGGAACACCGGUGGCGAAGGCGGCUUCCUGGAAGAUUCCUGACUCUGAAACACGAAAGCCAGGGGAGCGAAUGGGAUUAGAUACCCCCGUAGUCCCUGUCUCUUAUAC
rnacentral:rRNA from 1 species